rnacentral:lncRNA from 13 species
AUGUGUAGUAUAACACUCAUACUGUACAGUACUGUGAGGGUUCUAGUUAUCAUCAACAUGUGUAGUAUAACACUCAUACUGUACAGUACUGUGAGGGUUCUAGUUCUCAUCAACAUGUGUAGUAUAACACUCAUACUGUACAGUACUGUGAGGGUUCUAGUUCUCAUCAACAUGUGUAGUAUAACACUCAUACUGUACAGUACUGUGAGGGUUCUAGUUCUCAUCAACAUGUGUAGUAUAACACUCAUACUGUACAGUACUGUGAGGGUUCUAGUUCUCAUCAACAUGUGUAGUAUAACACUCAUACUGUACAGUACUGUGAGGGUUCUAGUUCUCAUCAACAUGUGUAGUAUAACACUCAUACUGUACAGUACUGUGAGGGUUCUAGUUCUCAUCAAUAUGUAUAGUAUAACACUCAUACUGUACAGUACUGUGAGGGUUCUAGUUCUCAUCAACAUGUGUAGUAUAACACUCAUACUGUACAGUACUGUGAGGGCUCUAGUUCUCAUCAAUAUGUAUAGUAUAACACUCAUACUGUACAGUACUGUGAGGGUUCUAGUUAUCAUCAACAUGUGUAGUAUAACACUCAUACUGUACAGUACUGUGAGGGUUCUAGUUCUCAUCAACAUGUGUAGUAUAACACUCAUACUGUACAGUACUGUGAGGGUUCUAGUUCUCAUCAACAUGUGUAGUAUAACACUCAUACUGUACAGUACUGUGAGGGUUCUAGUUCUCAUCAACAUGUGUAGUAUAACACUCAUACUGUACAGUACUGUGAGGGUUCUAGUUCUCAUCAACAUGUGUAGUAUAACACUCAUACUGUACAGUACUGUGAGGGCUCUAGUUCUCAUCAAUAUGUAUAGUAUAACACUCAUACUGUACAGUACUGUGAGGGUUCUAGUUCUCAUCAACAUGUGUAGUUUAACACUCAUACUGUACAGUACUGUGAGGGUUCUAGUUCUCAUCAACAUGUGUAGUAUAACACUCAUACUGUACAGUACUGUGAGGGUUCUAGUUCUCAUCAACAUGUAUAGUAUAAUCACUCAUACUGUACAGUACUGUGAGGGUUCAAAUUCUCAUCAACAUGUGUAG